rnacentral:misc_RNA from 1 species
GAUGGAAGAACGUAGCGAAAUGCGAUAAGUAAUGUGAAUUGCAGAAUUCAGUGAAUCAUCGAAUCUUUGAACGCACAUUGCGCCCGCUAGUAUUCUGGCGGGCAUGCCUGUUCGAGCGUCAUUUCAACCAUCAAGCCCUGUUUAGGCUUGCGUUGGGGCCCUGCGGCUGCCGCAGCCCCCUAAAUGCAGUGGCGGGCUCGUUGUCACUCCGAGCGCAGUAGCGUAUCUCGCUCUGGGCGUGGCGGCGGGUGCUAGCCGUGAAACACCCACUAAGGUUGACCUCGGAUCAGGUAGGAAUACCCGCUGAACUUAAGCAUAUCAAUAAGCGGAGGA